UCUCCCUAUCAGCAAGAGCUGACCCGAUUACGACUGGAGCGCCUUCAUGUGGAGGAGGAGUUACUGCUGGAGCUCAAAAGACAGCAAGAGUUGGAACGUACACGAGGACCAAAGCCUAAGUGGUAUGAGAUGAAAGGCUCACAGUUCCAUUACGAAGCACGCAA